rnacentral:rRNA from 1 species
UACGUAGGGUGCGAGCGUUGUCCGGAAUUACUGGGCGUAAAGGGCUCGUAGGUGGCCAACUAAGUCAGACGUGAAAUCCCUCGGCUUAACCGGGGAACUGCGUCUGAUACUGGAUGGCUUGAGUUUGGGAGAGGGAUGCGGAAUUCCAGGUGUAGCGGUGAAAUGCGUAGAUAUCUGGAGGAAUACCGGUGGCGAAGGCGGCAUCCUGGACCGGCAUUGACGCUGAGUGAGCGAAAGCCAGGGGAGCAAACGGG